rnacentral:rRNA from 1 species
CUGGUUGAUCCUGCCAGUAGUCAUAUGCUUGUCUCAAAGAUUAAGCCAUGCAAGUCUAAGUAUAAGCAUUUAUACUGUGAGACUGCGGAAAGCUCAUUAUAUCAGUUAUAGUUUAUUUGAUGGUAAACCCACUACAUGGAUAACCGUAGUAAUUCUAGAGCUAAUACAUGCCCAGAAACGGUGACUUCGGAAGCCGUGGACUUAUUAGAUCAAGAGCCAACCCUCUUCGGAGGAAUAAGCUGAAUCAUAGUAAUUUUGCUAAUCGCAUGGUCUUGUACCGGCGAUGGGUCAUUCAAAUUUCUGCCCUAUCAGCUGUGAUGUUAGUGUAGUGGACUAACAUGGCAUAAACGGGUGACGGAGGAUUAGGGUCUGAUUCCGGAGAGGGAGCCUGAGAAAUGGCUACCACUUCCAAGGAAGGCAGCAGGCGCGUAAAUUACCCAAUCCCGACACGGGGAGGUAGUGACAAGAAAUAACAAUACCGGAUCUUUUUAGAUCUGGUAAUUGGAAUGAGUACAACUUAAAAUCCUUAACAAGGAACAAUUGGAGGGCAAGUCUGGU